rnacentral:rRNA from 1 species
UACGUAGGGGGCUAGCGUUGUCCGGAAUCAUUGGGCGUAAAGCGCGUGUAGGCGGUCCGGUAAGUCCGCUGUGAAAGUCAGGGGCUCAACCCCUGAAUGCGGGUGGAUACUGCUGGGCUAGAGUCCGGAAGAGGCGAGUGGAAUUCCUGGUGUAGCGGUGAAAUGCGCAGAUACUCAGGAGGAACACCGAUUGCGAAGGCAGCUCGCUGGGACGUCACUGACGCUGAUGAGCGAAAGCUAGGGGAGCAAACGGG